rnacentral:rRNA from 1 species
CAGUCGCGCGGGAAUACGAAGGGGGCUAGCGUUGUUCGGAUUUACUGGGCGUAAAGCGCACGUAGGCGGACUUUUAAGUCAGGGGUGAAAUCCCGGGGCUCAACCCCGGAACUGCCUUUGAUACUGGGAGUCUUGAGUUCGAGAGAGGUGAGUGGAAUUGCGAGUGUAGAGGUGAAAUUCGUAGAUAUUCGCAGGAACACCAGUGGCGAAGGCGGCUCACUGGCUCGAUACUGACGCUGAGGUGCGAAAGCGUGGGGAGCAAACAGGAUUAGAUACCCCGGUAGUCCCUGUCUCUUAUACA